GGGGCUAAACCAUGCACCGAAGCUGCGGCAGCGAACGUAUCACUUAAAGCGAUUCAGCGGAUGACGAUUGACGGAGCGAAGCGACGUCAAAGCGUAUACAAAGUCGAGUCGGUUUAAGGAUACGUUCGUUGGGUAGGGGAGCGUUCUGUAAGCCUGCGAAGGUGGCCUGUGAGGGUUGCUGGAGGUAUCAGAAGUGCGAAUGCUGACAUAAGUAACGAUAAAGCGGGUGAAAAGCCCGCUCGCCGGAAGACCAAGGGUUCCUGUCCAACGUUAAUCGGGGCAGGGUGAGUCGACCCCUAAGGCGAGGCCGAAAGGCGUAGUCGAUGGGAAACGGGUUAAUAUUCCCGUACUUGGUGUUACUGCGAAGGGGGGACGGAGAAGGCUAUGUUGGCCGGGCGACGGUUGUCCCGGUUUAAGCGUGUAGGUGUGUGUUCCAGGUAAAUCCGGUUCACUUUAACACUGAGGCGUGAUGACGAGGCACUACGGUGCUGAAGCAACAAAUGCCCUGCUUCCAGGAAAAGCCUCUAAGCAUCAGGUAACACGAAAUCGUACCCCAAACCGACACAGGUGGUCAGGUAGAGAAUACCAAGGCGCUUGAGAGAACUCGGGUGAAGGAACUAGGCAAAAUGGUGCCGUAACUUCGGGAGAAGGCACGCUGACACGUAGGUGAAGUGAUUUACUCAUGGAGCUGAAGUCAGUCGAAGAUACCAGCUGGCUGCAACUGUUUAUUAAAAACACAGCACUGUGCAAACACGAAAGUGGACGUAUACGGUGUGACGCCUGCCCGGUGCCGGAAGGUUAAUUGAUGGGGUCAGCGCAAGCGAAGCUCCUGAUCGAAGCCCCGGUAAACGGCGGCCGUAACUAUAACGGUCCUAAGGUAGCGAAAUUCCUUGUCGGGUAAGUUCCGACCUGCACGAAUGGCGUAAUGAUGGCCAGGCUGUCUCCACCCGAGACUCAGUGAAAUUGAACUCGCUGUGAAGAUGCAGUGUACCCGCGGCAAGACGGAAAGACCCCGUGAACCUUUACUAUAGCUUGACACUGAACAUUGAGCCUUGAUGUGUAGGAUAGGUGGGAGGCUUUGAAGUGUGGACGCCAGUCUGCAUGGAGCCGACCUUGAAAUACCACCCUUUAAUGUUUGAUGUUCUAACGUGGACCCGUUACCCGGGUUGCGGACAGUGUCUGGUGGGUAGUUUGACUGGGGCGGUCUCCUCCUAAAGAGUAACGGAGGAGCACGAAGGUUGGCUAAUCCUGGUCGGACAUCAGGAGGUUAGUGCAAUGGCAUAAGCCAGCUUGACUGCGAGCGUGACGGCGCGAGCAGGUGCGAAAGCAGGUCAUAGUGAUCCGGUGGUUCUGAAUGGAAGGGCCAUCGCUCAACGGAUAAAAGGUACUCCGGGGAUAACAGGCUGAUACCGCCCAAGAGUUCAUAUCGACGGCGGUGUUUGGCACCUCGAUGUCGGCUCAUCACAUCCUGGGGCUGAAGUAGGUCCCAAGGGUAUGGCUGUUCGCCAUUUAAAGUGGUACGCGAGCUGGGUUUAGAACGUCGUGAGACAGUUCGGUCCCUAUCUGCCGUGGGCGCUGGAGAACUGAGGGGGGCUGCUCCUAGUACGAGAGGACCGGAGUGGACGCAUCACUGGUGUUCGGGUUGUCAUGCCAAUGGCACUGCCCGGUAGCUAAAUGCGGAAGAGAUAAGUGCUGAAAGCAUCUAAGCACGAAACUUGCCCCGAGAUGAGUUCUCCCUGAGACUUAGAGUCUCCUGAAGGAACGUUGAAGACGACGACGUUGAUAGGCCGGGUGUGUAAGCGCAGCGAUGCGUUGAGCCUGUCCUUUA
rnacentral:rRNA from 1 species